UACGAAGGGGGCUAGCGUUGCUCGGAAUCACUGGGCGUAAAGGGUGCGUAGGCGGGGCUUUAAGUCAGGGGUGAAAUCCUGGAGCUCAACUCCAGAACUGCCUUUGAUACUGAAGAUCUUGAGUUCGGGAGAGGUGAGUGGAACUGCGAGUGUAGAGGUGAAAUUCGUAGAUAUUCGCAAGAACACCAGUGGCGAAGGCGGCUCACUGGCCAGAUACUGACGCUGAGGCACGAAAGCGUGGGGAGAAAACAGG
rnacentral:rRNA from 1 species